UACGGGGGGGGUAAGCGUUGUUCGGAAUUACUGGGCGUAAAGGGCUCGUAGGCGGCCAACUAAGUCAUACGUGAAAUCCCUCAGCUUAACUGGGGAACUGCGUGUGAUACUGGAUGGCUUGGAUUUGGGAGAGGGAUGCGGAAUUCCAGGUGUAGCGGUGAAAUGCGUAGAUAUCUGGAGGAACACCGGUGGCGAAGGCGGCAUCCUGGACCAAUAUUGACGCUGAGGAGCAAAAGCCAGGGGAGCAAACGGG
rnacentral:rRNA from 1 species